rnacentral:lncRNA from 1 species
CUCUCUUGUUUCCAAGGGCCACGAUCCCCAUAAUUUUCUGCCUCUGGAAAUCUCAUCAUAGCACCAUUCGGGAAACCACCUUGAAUGAAGUUAUUGAAAGAACCACCACAACAAUACAUAUUAUGAAGAUUAUACGUAUUUCUAGUUUGGAGAAUGACACUUUAACCAAAAACAGACUGGAAAAAAAAUGAAGAUUUUGUUUAAUGAUGACUGUAUGCCAGGCAAAAGAUGCAAAUCACCAGCUGAAUUUUGUCUCUUCUAAGGUAAGCCACUCAGAAGUGAAAGGCAAAUAAGGUUUCUUUAAGUACACACUUUAUAAAUGUGGAAACA